GAAAAUGGCUGUUCUGUAUGUUUUCAUAAGGCCAUCAGUCGCUGUAGAAAAUGUUGAACAUUUGAGGUGUAAGAAGGAUAGACAUUUGGUGCUUUUCAUGCCACAUUUCUCAACACCUGUACAUCUUGUGUUUGCAUAAAUUAUAACAUGGUAAUUGCAUAGCCAUUGUGGGCAGCCUAUACCUCAAAGGUGACUAAUGGUGGCUGUGGGCACUGCCUUGCUGAUCUGGGUUCUCUUGAGGCUAACUGUGCAGAACACUUCUAGAAUAAAUGAAGAUCAUGUAACAAAUAGAGAUGGUAGUGCUGUCUGAAGAGUCUCUGGAGUAUGUCACUGUGCUUCUUACCAACAUAGGGAUGCCUUGACUAAAGUGGGCCUGAAAUGGCUGAAAAGAAAAACCCUUAGUUUCUACAGACAGAAAUGUUGCUACCCUCAAAGUGCCACAGCAUGAACAGAAGACUUGUCUCACAGAAGUCAACAGUCAUUGAGGAGAUGCAUGUAGACAUGGAGCAGAACCCCUGUGUGGUGGGCUGCAGACUGCUUCCUCCAACCUCCCUGCCCCAUCCCCACACAAAAAGAUAACCAAAUCCUAAUCUCUGGAACCUGUAAAUGUUUCCUUAUUUUGAAAAAGAGUCAUUGCAGAUGUGAU
rnacentral:lncRNA from 1 species